CGCGAGCUGAGGCGGAGAGAAGCGAGUUGCCGGUGCGAAAUAUCUAAAUUUUUAAGAUUGUAUUACUGGUGAAGAUUGUGGAGAGAGAGAAAUUUUAAGGAAUAAUUUAUUGAAAAAGCCACAAGGAGAAGAGCCACGAGUGACACGUAGAGGAGUCCCAGAGGCUUAGUGGUAUAGAUCCACUGUCUCUUUUGGGUAUUUAAUUUAUGAUUUAUAAUGUGUUAUAUUGCCAAUAUUAGGACUUUUUUAUGUUUAUUGUCAAUUAUAUGAAUAUAUAAAUGUAAUCAUGCCUUUCAAACUAUUUCUAUUUUUGGUACAAUUUGGAUGACUGUAAUUUUAAUAUUUGGUUUACUUUGGAUUGGUUAAAAUGGCAUGAU